UAUUUCAAGCUUUUUCUAACUUACUCAAACAAUCAUAAGCAUUUCAGCAAAUCCCUCUCCUUAUAAAUAACUCCAAGCCAAACCCCUGCAAUGUCCAAACAGAGGUAAGAAAGCAUGGAAGCAAACAGAGCUAGUGUCUUAGUUUUACUCCUUGUGUGUGGCAUAUUUCUAUUGGAGUACAGCACAGCCGAAGCUUGCCCUCUGUAUUGUUUGGAAGCAGACUACAUGAUAUGCGAGUCAUCAGGCAGUCAGAGGCUCAGUCCGGCAUGCAACUGUUGCUUGGCAGGGAAGGGUUGCACCAUUUACUUCAAUGAUGGAACCUCUGAAACCUGCUAAUGCUACAACAUUGCACCCUCCUUAUAUAUAUAUAUAUAAAUAAUAAGCCUACAAUCAAGUGUAGUUUGUCUCUUCAUAAUGGUGUGUUUUGCCAUCAUUCUCCAAAACACUAUGUUACAAGAAUCUUAGUUCAAAACAAAACAUAAAUGUGUACUAAAAUACCAAGUGUACUCUCUCUUUUGUAAUAAAAAAUAGUUGUACCUCUGUGCGACAAAUAUAUAUAGAUGUCUAUGCAUCUUUCAUAUCCA